GGAGAAUUGCUAGCUUGCUAAUAAUUCUCUAGUGGCGCACGGUGAGUAACACGUGAGUACCUGCCUCUUAGUGGGGGAUAGCCCUGGGAAACCGGGAUUAAUACCGCAUACGGAAACAAAGCAGCAAUGCGCUAGGAGAUGGGCUCGCGGCCUAUUAGUUAGUUGGUGAGGUAACGGCUUACCAAGGCGAUGACGGGUAGCCGGUCUGAGAGGAUGUCCGGCCACACUGGAACUGAGACACGGUCCAGACACCUACGGGUGGCAGCAGUCGAGAAUCAUUCACAAUGGGGGCAACCCUGAUGGUGCGACGCCGCGUGGGGGAUAAGGUCUUCGGAUUGUAAACCCCUGUCAUGUGGGACAUUAAAAAGAUAGUACCACAAGAGGAAGAGACGGCUAACUCUGUGCCAGCAGCCGCGGUAAUACAGAGGUCUCAAGCGUUGUUCGGAAUCACUGGGCGUAAAGCGUGCGUAGGCUGUUUCGUAAGUCGUGUGUAAAGGCAGGGGCUCAACCCUGGAUUGCACAUGAUACUGCGAGACUAGAGUAAUGGAGGGGGAACCGGAAUUCUCGGUGUAGCAGUGAAAUGCGUAGAUAUCGAGAGGAACACUCGUGGCGAAGGCGGGUUCCUGGACAUUAACUGACGCUGAGGCACGAAGGCCAGGGGAGCGAAAGGGAUUA
rnacentral:rRNA from 1 species